AACUUGAGAGUUUGAUCCUGGCUCAGAACGAACGCUGGCGGCAGGCUUAACACAUGCAAGUCGAGCGCGUAGCAAUACGAGCGGCAGACGGGUGAGUAACGCGUGGGAAUCUACCCAUCUCUACGGAACAACUCCGGGAAACUGGAGCUAAUACCGUAUACGUCCUUUUGGAGAAAGAUUUAUCGGAGAUGGAUGAGCCCGCGUUGGAUUAGCUAGUUGGUGGGGUAAUGGCCUACCAAGGCGACGAUCCAUAGCUGGUCUGAGAGGAUGAUCAGCCACACUGGGACUGAGACACG
rnacentral:rRNA from 1 species